UCCUUAGCUUCCUAUUGCAGAGUUCUUCAAGAACAAAUGCAGGCAUGCUCAGAUCUGAUGCUUUUGUUGUGAGCCCUUGCAACAACAUGCAUUGCAGAUCUAGCCGAGAUUCAGGAAGAAAAAUCUAGCAUACAGCGGGGAUUGUCAAUCCAACCAAUAUUUAUCUUACAUCAGACAGUUUAACUUCAGCAAAGGAAGGAGAAACAGAGAAAGUAGAGGCAUAUACAUGGUACAUCAGACCCCAGUAUCUCUACUGCGGAAGCAGGAAACAAGCAUGUUCCAGAGAGGCUAGUCCUACAAGAAACGUCAAGAGUACUUGUAUCCAUCAAAACAGAUUCCGGAAGGUAACUGCAGUCAACUUACGACUUGUAAACUUAUGUUAGCAUUCCUGCAUGACUGCCAAACCUCCAUCAGACCUAUUGAUCCACUUGAGGUUCUACUACCAUUGUUAUGUCAUUCCAACUUCAUUCGCAUUUCUGUCCUAAGCAAAUCUUCACCAGCUCAUGCAGGCGUUUCUUUUUUCAAGAACUAAAGUGUCACUUGAUUCCCAUGACCCCUGAUGGAAAAUAGUCAAUCAAGGAAUCCAGGACAUCCAAUUUGCGUCCUUCAGGAGAUGAAUCAGCAACAAAAAUGGCUAGCAAAUUUCUUGCCCUGGAUAUCAAGUCGCUGAGAGUAGGAUCAAUUGAAUAUUCAGCAGACAACGAGCCUUCGAAACCGCCCAAGCAGGUGAUGUAAUUUGUGAGUGAACUGCUCGGCCAUGUAUGGAUAUCUGCAGAUGCUGAGGUGGAAAAAGCCUUGGAUUGAGUUGAUUCGAAUCUGGCAAAUUAUACAUCUAUAUAAUCCACAGACGUUUCCAUCAACUCCACGCAAUCUGCCAAAGCCGCUUCUUCUCUAGGAUGGUUCACCCUGUGGCUCACAUCCUUGGCGGCAUCUAUAGCAUUUUCCGUGCAGAUCGCCAUCUUUUUCACGAACACUUGGACCAACUUGUUGUCACUCAUGAAAGAGGCCGCACCAUAGGGAAUGCUUUCUGAAACAAUGGCUCGAGCCUGAUCUUGGGCCCUGCCACAGAUAUGCACAAGAGGGGCAUUAGCAAAAUUGCUGGUCUUUGAUAAAGUGGUCUGUGAUUAUGGCUGAUGAGAAGAUGAAUGCAUAGUAUAGAGACUUGGAGAGAAUCAGACGGAGAAUUUUUUAAUGAGAGGCUUGUGUGUUUAGCAAUGGCUGAGUGGUGAUGUGCCAUUCUGCGUGAGUUUGGGCUUAUUGAGUUGUGUUCCUUUUACUCACUCUAUCAAUGUAAAGUCCAGUAUUAUUGACAA